UUCCGAUGCUCGAAAAGCAAAUCAUUUUUCCUUUUCCCAUGCAGCUCCAGCCAGCAGAACUCGAGGUGAUAUGUGGGGUUCAUGGGUAAAUAGAUUUUUGUUCUAUACAGGAGGACCAUUCUGCUUCCUGGAGCCGAGCAGUGAUGGACUCUAUCUGUACGAGAGCAAGCUCCGAGAGCUCGUAGAGAGAAUGCCCGCACUGAGUAAGGAGUCAGGCAAAGGGGCGGGGGCUGAGCCACAGUCGGCCCGUCCGACUCUGUCCUGGGAAGCUGAGUGUCAAGUACCGGGGUCCACGCCCUGGGAACAGUUGGAGCUGCCUGUCUCGCCACAGUGCGCUGUGCAGGGAACGCCGCCUACACGCACAUGCCGAUGGCAAGUUGAUCUCACAAGUCGCGUAUGUUUGUUAUGGAGCCAUAUUGCUUGAUCGUUAAAUGAGAAAGUCCUAUCGAGCUUUUGGAGUGUGACCCUGCGUGUUUCCGAUGGGAAGAGAACACGGCUAGCGAUAUGUGGUAAUACACUGUCUUGAGAUGCUGGACAGUGGCGGUGAGCUGCUUCUCCCAGUCAGCCACGUAAUCACGAGGGUCACCAAUGGAUACUUCUACAAUCAUUCUGCGUCCAUGCAACAAUUCUGUUUUUCACUUCCUGCACAGCAUUCAA